rnacentral:ncRNA from 1 species
GCUGCUAGGGGUGCUUUUUGCUGAGACUUUACCCUUAGAACCUGCUCUGGAUAAUACCGGCGAAGGGAAGUGGCA